UUUCCAGCGAUAGAUUGGAAAAUUUUGAAUUCACAAUCGCCAACCGGAGAAUCCAAAAUAUACUAACAUUAUACGCUUAAAGCAGUUAAAGAGUUGUAGUUUAAGUUGGCAACCAACGUUCCUUUUCCCGCGCAACGAAUUUCCUACGCCUCUAUGCCUGCGCCAGUCGGCCGGUUUCGUUUAACCUGUGUUUUGGUCGAUCAGCUAAUUGACGUUAAUUUAAAAUUUUGGUUCAAAAAGUUAAAAAGUGUGUUUUUUGCGUUUAGUGUUUGUGUUUUUUUACUUGUUUUGAUUUGUUAGGUUAAGUUGUUUGUGUCAAAAAACGUUUCAUAUGGACCCCAUGGAAGACAUUACGAAGAAAAUUCAUAAUUACGCAAGACCCUCUUCAACCCCGUGCAGUAUGACUGUUGUUGACAACAUCGUGGCACAGAAAAUGAAUGCCAAUGCGUAUUCAUUUUUCAAGAAGGAAAAUUUUAAUUUAAGAUGCCCUACAGAGGUUGUUACUUCAAUAUAAAGUAUGUAAUGUUAUUCGAAGUGUAUGUUCCAGUAUAGAUAAUAUUGAAUGUUGGAAAUAAAUUGUGUUAUUAUUAAAAGUAAUUUUACCUAGUUCAACAUUAUUUGCAAAUCUCCUUAUAUUUCAA